UCUGUGUUUUAUAACUUUUAUUUUCAUGUUCUUCAAUCAAACUUUGGUGCUAUGGUUGGCACUUUGGCCGUUCGGCCCUUCUUGCACCUAAGAACAGGACCACCUUACCUCUGAUAAGACACCCUUCAGGUUCAUAUCUGUGACUUUAUAACUUCUAUUUUCGUGUUCUUCAAUCAAACUUUGGUGCUAUGGUUGGCAAUUUGGCCUCUCUUGCACCUAAGAAUAGGACCACCUUACCUCUUAUAAGACACCCUUCAGGUACUUUUAUCAACAAUUGAAAGGUUCCUAAAAAUUGUGUUAGGUCAAAACAAAUCCAUGCAUUAAUUCCUUUCCAUAUCUGUUAGUCAUAUACAAAGCUCGUUACUGGAAGGGAAAAAAGACAAAAAGAAAAAAAGAAUAAUAAAACAAUCCAAUCAGUGCAGCAAAAAUAGUUUAGUGUCUAGGUGGAGUUCAGUACUCAAUUUCAUUCUGAUUCUUUUCUUCAAAUUGUAAUGGCCCAAAUAAUGCAUAAUGAAUUAAAGAUAUAUCCCUAGACCAGAUAAGCAGCUGCAAUGUAUUUCAUGUGAAGUGCACUUGAGCUAAGGUGAAAACUGAUUUAUGACAUGGUAGUCAUAGUACAUGACAGGACUGUAGUUGUGCUGUUGAGACCAGGAACAGGAAAGAUAGACAGCCUCAUUUUUUUCGUGGCACGGUAAGUAGCAACAUUCAGCUUAGGUAAUUGAGAUGUACUUUCCUGGCAUGAUACAUACCUUUGCAGUAUUUAGGGUUUCGGCAUGUUGGUAUAUCUGGCCAAGUUUCCAUGAGCCUGAUUGUGGCAGAAUUAUUUAUAUGCCCGAGUAAACUGUCUUGAUUCUAUGGCACUCUUGUUGGACUUUUAGGGAAGGAAAAGGGAAAAAAAAAAAAAAAAGCUCAGAAAUGGGAUUCUUAUUUGUCCUAUGAAAAAGUUUGAGCACAAAUUCACUGGCUUGGAGGGUUUAAAAGAAAUGAGUGGGUGUUGGUCUCUUUCAUUGUGGGUUGACAAUUUCCCAAUUAGGUAUCAGAUUCGGGGACAGUGUCCAAUGUUGAUGGUAAUAUUGUCUCGACUAGCUUGAGGUAGAUUGCAAUUAUUAUCUUUGAAAAUGUUUUGGCCCUUUGGGCACCCUAUGUGGCAGCUGGCGUAUCAUGUUCUUUCUCCACUGACCAGAUUAACAGAGACCAACAUGCAAUGGAUGCGAUUUGUUGUGAAGAAAAAUAUUUGGCAGCGCUACAGAUUUUUCUAGCAACAAUUUAGGACAUGAUCAAGGAGUAUUCAUGAUAAAGGGGGAAAAGAUGAUCAGGUUAGUCCAUGAGCAGGUUGCAUUGAAAAGGUAAGAAAUGACUGGUUGCUAAGCUGCGUAGGUUGAGAGUUAAAUGUGAAGUCUUUUGUUUCUUUUCCAAAUCUUAAGCGUAAUACAGUAUCUUGAAAACUUGUAAGUUUAGACUUAUAUCACAAUCAAGUCCUCAAGAAAUCUGGUCAAACUUACCUUAGGAAGCAAUUAUAAGUAGUCACUAUCGAUUGGGGAAUUAGCUGUAGUAUUUCUUAUCCAAGACAUAAUAUAUGUAUCUUAUCUGAAAAAAGAAUGUUAUAACUCUUAUUAUUGAUGCCUUGCUUCUCUAGUAUAGUUAUAAUUCUCUCUGAUAGGUCUAUUUUCUUGAGUGAUGCCUUAUGUCCACCAUGAAUUAAAUUAUGCAUUUUAUAGUAUUCUAAACUCAGAGCGAGCGUAUUGAUUAUUAUAAUUCCCUUACUUUACCAUACCAAGAAGAUAUUGUUGUUCAGAAAUCAGAACAAACAAGUUGUGGCAUGAUGCAUCAUGAAUUAGUCUUAAACUAUCCAGUUAUACAUCAAUACUUUGUUCACAGUUAAGUAGUCGAGUUUAAGUCUCAUGAAACGAGCCUUCUGAAUAUAGCGACUGUAGGCACGAGAAUAGAAGAGCAUGGCCGUGACAAAUUAUUUGUAUGUUGCUAAAGUAUCUCAUCUUUUUGUUUAUUCCAAUUCAUUAAUGGUUAAUAAUGUAAAUUGGAUUUCGUUCUCGUCAAAUAUCUAAUUGCUCUUCUCUAAAUAGUUUGUCCGAUUAAUAAACUAUGAACUCCUUUUAAUACCCAAUGUUUGUUCUUGAUGCUUCCGGGAAUGGUAGGUUUAGAUCCUGUCAAAUAUCUGUCGCUAUUGAUAUUGAGUUGUGAAAAGAACUGAUUUUUUUGUUCUAAUAUCUUCUCCAUCUCGCCAGUCCUCUUUACAUGGCUAUUAGCUAUAUAUGUAUACGUACUAAUAAAAUCUAAUUGAGUCAUAAACUGGAUCAAUUGUCGUGAAUGCAUUUGAUGAAUUUGUAUGCUACUGCACAUGCAGGCACAUUUCUAGGUGUGUGUGGUUCAUACAUACUUUUCUCAUCGUGAUUUCUAGGUGUGUAUGGUUCAUACAUUCUUUUCUUGUCGUGAUAGUAUAUUGCAUUUGCAUCAUGGGAGUAGUAGUUGAAUGAACAGGAUGAUUGUUCUUUUUCAGUGUGACAUCUGCUUGGGCAUUGAAUGCAUUUUGGUAAGAUUACUGUCCAUCCUGAUCUUCAUACUGGUCGUCUUGUAGUUUUUCUUCUAGUUCUUAGACGAUUUCAAUCAGGUCCUGUAAUACUGUAUUUUGCGGUCAACAUGUUUUCAUUAUUUUAAUGGGAAUUGGAGAGGCUCAAGUUUUUGUGGAAGGAGACUCUUAACAGGAUUGAUUUUUUAUUAUGCUCUUGUUGUGCCCUUUAAGCCAUUAUUCGAUUGAUUUUUUAUUAUGCUCUUGUUAGAUUUCCCAAUUGACACCCAUCGGUAUCGGUUAGUUUAGAGUUGUCAAAAUUGUCUAAACAGCUGAACCCCAGGCACAUUUUUACAAAAUUAUGCCGGUCACCAAUUUGGGUCGAGUAUGAGUCCAAUUUAGAAUCAGAUUCCAUUGCGUAUGAGUCUUUGACUUUCAGUAUCCACCACUUAAAUAUUUGCCGGAGAAGAGCCAAUUUUCCAAUCUGGAUAUCACAUGUUGCAGGCCCCAAUAAAUUUAGCAGCAUGCCAGCAUCCCCAGCAGGAUUCUCUCUUGGAUUAUAACCUGCUUUGUCCAUUUAUAUAGGAAAUGUAAAGGAGCUGUAUUCCACCUAUAAAAAUUCACAUAUUAAGUGUCAAAUCUGUACUUCAGCAACAGAUGGAGAGGGCCAUGCAUUGUCCAAUUUGGAUCAUCACGUGGCGCUGGCUCAGUCUAUUCAGGCUGUGCCCCAUAUGGAUGAUAUUUUUACGAAGCACUUGCGUUUUCUCUGUGUGUGAAGUAGAGGUACAUCCUCUCAAGAAAAAUUGGCUGUUGUUCAUUAAAGAAGACGCGUGCUAUUUCAUGUGGAAGUGCAAGUGAGCAAAGGGUGAAAAAAGAUUACGUGGAACACCAGGGUUUAGAACUUGAUUCUUUUUAAUCAUAUGGAUAAGUUGGAGCCACAAGUGAGCUGGCUAGGUGAGCGUAAAAGAUAUUAGCGGGGGUUGGUCUCUUUCAUUGUGGGACAACUAUUUCGCAAUCUAGUUAGGGGAUUUAGGGACAGUCCCCAUGUUGAUGUGAAUGUUGUCUCGACUAAUUGGAGGUGGGGCUGUAGUUGAUAUUAGCGAACAAGUUUGGGCUACUUAUGAGUUAUGGGGGAUGCUGUGGUAUAUGUGUUGUGUUGUCUUUGUUCCUUGAUUAAUGAUCUUUUUUCUCCAUUUGCCAGAUUAGACAAGAGCUGGAAUGGAGUGGAUAGGAUUUGUUAAGAAGGAAGAUGUUUGGCUGCGGCGUAUGGAUCCUUUUCUUAGCAAAGAUUCAUGAUCAUUACCAAACAAGGUGCUGAGGUUUAGUAAUCAUAGGGGAAAAGUUGACCAGUGAGGGAUUUCAAGUCCCAUGGUUUUAUAUGCAUGGAAAAGGUUACAAUCUACAAACUGGAACCAAGCAGUUUGACAUCAAGAAUCAAACCUCUGUUCUUUCCAAUAGUCAAUCUUACUAUAUGGUGUUUUUUUUUUCCUCUCUUUUGAUGAGAAAGUCUCUUCUAAUCAAGUCUUAAAGAAUCAUGGGUCAAGCUCAUCUGGUUGAGUUGAGAUUUUGUGGGGGACUGGAGACUUUGCCCCUUUAACCAACAACCUCCAGCUUCCUAGUGAAUUAUUCUGCAGUUGAAAGACAAACAGGACAAGAUAGAAAAAAAGUUAUUUCGAUUGUUUUCAUUUAAUAUUUGCACUAAUCAUUUUUGUUGAAUAACAUAAUCAUAUUGAAGUAGUACAUCCUGUUAUGAACCUAAUGAUUGAUGCCCUCAUUCUUCCAUUUGCUAUACAGUUAUGAUUCUUUAUGAUUGAUCUGCUUGAGAGCUAGGGUUAAACUAACAUGAACUAUGCAUAGUCGUGUUUUGUGCACACUAACAGAUUCACAAGGCAACUACAUGCUUAUAAAUGGCAAAACUAAGAGGUUACUCAUAGACAACAACCUGUAAAAUUUGGUCCCCAUCAGAAAAGGAAUGAGAGAUAAGGUGGUCCUCCUCCUUAACUCUACCUCUACAGAAAAAAUUUCAGAAGCAAUAAUCCUAAAAUCCCC